rnacentral:rRNA from 1 species
CGUCAAGUCAGGAUGGCCCUUACGGCCUGGGCUGCACACGUACUACAAUGCCCGGUACAGAGGGACGCAAUGCCGCGAGGUGGAGCAAAUCCUCAAAACCGGGCCCAGUUCAGAUUGUAGUCUGCAACUCGACUACAUGAAGUUGGAAUCGCUAGUAAUGGCGCAUCAGCUACGGCGCCGUGAAUACGUUCCCGGGCCUU